AUGCCUUACACAUGCAAGUCGAACGGCAGCACGGGUGCUUGCACCUGGUGGCGAGUGGCGAACGGGUGAGUAAUACAUCGGAACAUGUCCUGUAGUGGGGGAUAGCCCGGCGAAAGCCGGAUUAAUACCGCAUACGAUCUACGGAUGAAAGCGGGGGACCUUCGGGCCUCGCGCUAUAGGGUUGGCCGAUGGCUGAUUAGCUAGUUGGUGGGGUAAAGGCCUACCAAGGCGACGAUCAGUAGCUGGUCUGAGAGGACGACCAGCCACACUGGGACUGAGACACGGCCCAGACUCCUACGGGAGGCAGCAGUGGGGAAUUUUGGACAAUGGGCGAAAGCCUGAUCCAGCAAUGCCGCGUGUGUGAAGAAGGCCUUCGGGUUGUAAAGCACUUUUGUCCGGAAAGAAAUCCUUGGUUCUAAUAUAGCCGGGGGAUGACGGUACCGGAAGAAUAAGCACCGGCUAACUACGUGCCAGCAGCCGCGGUAAUACGUAGGGUGCGAGCGUUAAUCGGAAUUACUGGGCGUAAAGCGUGCGCAGGCGGUUUGCUAAGACCGAUGUGAAAUCCCCGGGCUCAACCUGGGAACUGCAUUGGUGACUGGCAGGCUAGAGUAUGGCAGAGGGGGGUAGAAUUCCACGUGUAGCAGUGAAAUGCGUAGAGAUGUGGAGGAAUACCGAUGGCGAA
rnacentral:rRNA from 1 species